AAUACUAUACUUUCAGGGAUCAUUUCUAUAGUUUGUUACUAGAGAAGUUUCUAUGAAUGUGUAGAGCGCCUGAAACCAUGAGGAGGAGCCAUAGUGUUCUCCUGAGUGUGAAGCUGGCUUUGGUGUUGCUUUUGUAAUUGCUAAUAGCCACUGGUGAUUGUUCUUCUUUUCCUUUGGAAGAGUAAGAGGGAGAGAACGCAGUCUGAGUGGU